UACGUAGGGGGCAAGCGUUGUCCGGAUUUACUGGGCGUAAAGAGCGCGCAGGUGGCUGGCUCAGUCUGUCGUUAAAGCCCGGGGCUUAACUCCGGGUGGUCGGCGGAGACGGGUCGGCUUGGAGGCCGGUAGAGGAGCAGGGAAUUCCCGGUGUAGUGGUGAAAUGCGUAGAGAUCGGGAGGAACACCCGUGGCGAAGGCGCUGCUCUGGGCCGGACCUGACGCUGAGGCGCGAAAGCGUGGGGAGCGAACCGG
rnacentral:misc_RNA from 1 species